rnacentral:rRNA from 1 species
UACGAAGGGGGCUAGCGUUGUUCGGAAUUACUGGGCGUAAAGGGCUCGUAGGCGGCCAACUAAGUCAGACGUGAAAUCCCUCGGCUUAACCGGGGAACUGCGUCUGAUACUGGAUGGCUUGAGUUCGGGAGAGGGAUGUGGAAUUCCAGGUGUAGCGGUGAAAUGCGUAGAUAUCUGGAGGAACACCGGUGGCGAAGGCGGCAUCCUGGACCGACAUUGACGCUGAGGCGCGAAAGCCAGGGGAGCAAACGGG